rnacentral:tRNA from 1 species
AAUACAGGACUGGUGACAGCUUCCUGCUGGCAUUCAGUAUAGUGUAGAUCUACUGUGUAAUUAAUUUUCUGUUUCUUCGAGGAGCUGUGAAACCAAAGGACAUAUAAAACUGCUCUUUUCUCCCUGUUUCUGCCUGCAGCUUGGUCCUAAAUGUGAGACAAUUGUGAAAAGUGGAGGACAGAGCCACCUGGUUAAAUACAGCCCCAGCUUUCUGGUGAGAGGACUGAAACCAAGAUGUGUCAAGUAACUAGAAUGUGCCUGGACAGAUACUGUAGAAAGCAAAACCAUAAAGUUGUUCAUGAGCUUGUGGACGCACCUGCCAGCUGUGAAUAAGUGGCUCUAAUCCCGAACAACUUACCUAAAAAGAGCCUGAGAGCUGAACUGUGCAAUGGCCCACUUUCCAGUCCUCACUGACCACUGGGUUGCACACACUUUGGAGAUCUCUGAACAGCAGUGUCAAGGCUUUCAAAUAGAGUUAUCUUUGAAACGACAACACAUGAAAGUCUGGUUGGUACUUGGAGCUUAAAUACAAGGCAAUUGUGUGCCUGCAAAAACAAAAAUAGCAAUAUUAUCCUUAAGAUUUCAACAAGACACAGUGUCUCAUCACAUAAUCCAAAGAAGUCCAGGUUACAAGCCCCACAAUAUUCAGCAUUAUGAAAAAACAGGGAGAUCUUAAUUCACAUGGCAAAGAGAAUCCUCGAAUAACAAUAUUGAGAGGACACAGAUGUCAAAAUCAUCUGACACAUACAUUAAAGCAGAUAUUAUAACAAUGCUCCUAGAAUCGGGGAUAACAUUCGUGAAGUGAAUGGAAAGUUGGAAAGUCUCACCAAAUAUUUCGAAUACAUAAACACCAAUUUAAACUUAAGAAUUAAAAAAAUGUAUUAACCAAAACUCUUAGGGGAAAUAAAAAGCUUAAUUGGAGGAUCUCCAUAAUCGAAUGCAGAAGACUAAGGAAAAAGUCAAUGAACUUGAAAACAGAACACGAAUACCUACAUAAUCUGAACUAUAGAGAGAAAGGAGGAUUUUAUUGUCUCUGAACAGAGGCUCAGGCACAAAUAAAAAAUAACAAAUCCAACAUUCACAUUAUUGUAAUCUGGAAAGAAGAGGACAAAGUGGUCUUUGUGGGAUAAAACUUUGAACAAUUAAUAGCUGAAAAUGGUUCAAAUUUGUCAAAAGAUAUAAACCAGAUUUUUAAAGUUCAGUAAAUGUCAAUCAGGAUAAACCCAAAGAAACCCAUAGCAAGGCAUAUCAUAAUCAAACUGCUGAAAACUAAGAAAAUACAAAACAAUUUUGAAAGCAGCCAAAGGGAAAUGAAAGAGAAACUACCAAAUGAAUGAUUGUAGAUUUCGCAUCAGGAACCAUAGGGGCCAGAAAAAAUGUCAUAACAUUCGGUAAGUAACAAAAGAAAAAGACAUAUCGACCCAGAAUGCUAUGUGGAGCAAAAGUAUCUUCCAGACAUAAAGGCAAAUAAAUGCAUUCUCAGUGGAAGGUAAGUAAAUACAUUCUCAUUCUUAGGAAGACUGCUGGAAAAGAAUUAGCAAAGAUUUGAGAUAAGAAAAAUGAUACCAGAAGGAAACUUAGAACAUCAUCAGUGAAGGAACAAAAGCAGAAAUAGAACAUGUCUGGGUAGACAUAACAGACUAUUAUUCUUCCCUUGAGUUCCUUAAGGAGACUACGGAAAAGAAGAGUGACUAAGAUCUCUGAAGAAGGGAAAAGCUAGAUGACUGGGCCACAAGAGGAAAAAAAGCAGCAAGACAGACAAUGAGUAGCCACUGCUGUUUGCCCUGGCCCAUCAAUGAGAAGAUCUGCUCUUAGAGCCCUGCUUUCCUGCUGAAGGCCCUGAAAUCACCUGUGUUCCAGGCCACCUGCUAACAAUAAAUAAUGCUGCCCUGAUGUGGGGAAUUAGCUCAAGUGGUAGAGCGCUUGCUUAGCACGCAAGAGGUAGUGGGAUCGAUGCCCACAUUCUCCAAGCUUUAUUAUUUAGACAUCGUGUCUCCAAACACUCAGGUCUCCAAACCCAAGUUAGUGUCUGAGAACAGGAUGCUGCUUUGGUUCAAGACGUAGGAGCAGCAAUAAUAGAGGGCUGGUGAUGGCUCCCUCUUGGCAUUCAGUAUAGUGUAGAUCUACCAUGUAAUUAAUUCUCUGUUUCUUUGAGGAGCUGUGAAACCAAGGGACAUAUACAACUGCUCUUUUCUCCCUGUUUCUACCUGCAGCUUUGUCCUAAAUGUGAGACAAUUAUGAAAAGUGCAGCGCAGAGCCACUUGGGUAAAUACAGCCCCGGCUUUCUGCUCAGGGGACAGAGUUUGAGGCACUGCAGAGGAACCGGCCAAAGUAUGAGACCCAUAUAUUGAGAGUAACAGAGUGUAAAGUUCAAAAAAAUCAAAAUAUUUAAAGAUUUAUCAUGGGUCUUGAUGACAUGAUGGAAUCUCUCUACUCUCUGGACUUAUUAUGUGUGGUAAUAAAUUUACUUUUUAAAAGCCAGUUGAGUGUUUUUAAUGUUGUGGAGCUAUUGCUAAGAGUUUCCUGAGUUUUUUCCAGUAAUGUAGAGAUCUUUGUGCUAAAUAUUUCAUAAAGAAGUUUGG